rnacentral:snRNA from 1 species
GGAUGUGAGGGCGAUCUGGCCGCGACAUCUGUCACCCCAUUGAUUACCAGAAUUGAUUCGGCUGAUCGGGCCGGGUAAGCGGGUGUCCUCUCCCUCCCUCACAUGUAGUCCCUCCCAAAGCUGUGCGCCCAGUGGAAGAGGACGGUAUCCUCAAUAGAGGAGGACCGGUCUUCCAGCAAGCGUAUAGGAGUAGCUGCGCUCCCCUGCUAGGACCUCCAAACAAGCUCUCAAAACGACUUUUGAAUGCAUAGCUACAGAACUGAAGCUGCUAGAGAUGUAGAUGUAAAGAUGCACAUCUCCAAAUGUGGAGAGGGUAUCUUUU